rnacentral:rRNA from 1 species
CCUACGGGAGGCAGCAGUGGGGGAUAUUGCACAAUGGGGGGAACCCUGAUGCAGCGACGCCGCGUGGGUGAAGAAGCGCCUCGGCGCGUAAAGCCCUGUCAGCAGGGAAGAAACUGACGGUACCUGAAGACGAAGCCCCGGCUAACUACGUGCCAGCAGCCGCGGUAAUACGUAGGUGGCAAGCGUUAUCCGGAUUUACUGGGUGUAAAGGGGGCGCAGACGGCGAUGCAAGCCAGGAGUGAAAGCCCGGUGCCCAACCCCGGGACUGCUCUUGGUACUGCGUGGCUGGAGUGCAGGAGGGGCAGGCGGAAUUCCUGGUGUAGCGGUGAAAUGCGGAGAGAUCAGGAGGAACACCGGUGGCGAAGGCGGCCUGCUGGACUGCAACUGACGUUGAGGCCCGAAAGCGUGGGGAGCAAACAGGAUUAGAUACCCCUGUAGUC